rnacentral:rRNA from 1 species
UUUUUCCCUUUUGGCGGGGGGAUAACCUUCCGAAAGGAGGGCUAAUACCGCAUACGCUUGUUUGGUCGCAAGACUGGAUGAGGAAAGCAGGCCUCUUCAUGAACGCUUGCACCGAAGGAUAAGCCCGCGGCCCAUCAGCUAGUUGGCAGGGUAAUGGCCUACCAAGGCGAAGACGGGUAGCUGGUCUGAGAGGAUGAUCAGCCACACUGGAACUGAGACACGGUCCAG